rnacentral:lncRNA from 1 species
GGCCAGGGGAGUUUGGUUUUAUAGUCCCUUCAAGUGAAUCUGGGCUGUCGGAUCAAACCGACAUUGAUCGUGUGGUUUUCCUUGAAGUAUUAGGUUGGUGGAGCAUGAUCCCCGAGCUUCGCCCUGAUUGGUCCAGGGGGAGGGCGGGCGCCCAGUAAGGGAGGGCGGGCGCCCAGUGCCCGGCUCCGUUACGUCUCCCGUUCGCUCCCGUGGCUUCUGGAGUCUUCUAGAUGAUAGAAAAUUACGCGGCGCGUUAAUAUCUCUAUGUAAACCCGACGUGUGGGCCUUUCUUCCGUAUUUCCUGAUAACCCCCUGCAGAAAUAGACAAACACCAAAACUCGUGGAAUUCUAUCAGAUAAAACCCUAAGUCUAGGUGUUGGUUGCAUUUGGAUCCUUUUCCAUGAUUAGUUGAUGGUUAAAUGUGAGAAUUAAGGACCGUCAACAAGCUCCCCCAAGCUUAACCUUUGCUCGUCCCUGAGCAAAGCUAAAAUCAGCAAGAAAUCAGGGGUUACUUUUAUGCCUCUUACUACAGGGUUUUUAAGUUAUCACUAAGGUCUUAAGUGAUUGAAAAACAGAACGAUCAAGUCAAGCACUAUGUCUCAAGUUCUUCCGUCUUACCUUUGUUCUGGAGUUUGUAUAUGUUCCCAAGAUAAAACUGAGGUAUUUGCCUUCUUCUCGAAAGAUAUAUAAGUAGAGCUUUAAAAGUUUUAGCAUACUUACUUUGCAUUUUGCUAUGUCAAAACUCAGAGCAAGGGAGAGGAAUGUCAUACUCCUAGAUCAAGACCUUUGACCUUUUUAAAAAGUUUGUCAUCUCUUACUGGCAUAUUGCUUAUUAGAGGGACCAUGGGCUAUCAUUUUUUUCUUCUUCUUUUUUUCUCAAGUGGGCAGCAAGUACCCCUAAUUCUACUGUCGGACACAUGUCCAUUUUUUCCACUCAGGUGGGUAUCUUUGUACCCCUAAUUCUACUUCGGACACUUGUCCAUUUUUACCUCUCGUCUCACUUUUUUUUCGAAUCAAAAUUUUUGCAUAGUCCCAUGCCUCUAACGCAAUAAUACUUCGGAAGAGUGAAUCUUUUAUAUUUUAAAACAAAAAGCUCUUGAUCUUGGGAGCAUGAUAAUUCUCUCAACCAAAACUACAAGAAUUAACAAUGGCUUGAACAAAGCAAGUGCCCACAAUUUUAAUAUUUAUAUCUUAUAAGACUCUAGGUAUUAUGAUCUAUAUAUAUUUUUUUAAUGAAUUUUUAGAUUUUCAAAAGAUAAAAUCUCCAGAACUCUAGCAAAACUUGGAACAAGUUAAAUAGUAGCUCAGACCUGCUCAUAUCAUGUUUGUCAAUUACCUAGACUUGAAUCAAACUUUCUUUUUAUUUUAUUUAAAACUUAGGAUUACACAAAACUAUUGUAUAUUACUCAAAAGAAAAACUUUGUUUGGUUUCAUGGUUAUGCAUUUUUUUUAUUUCCGAAUACUAGUAAAUAAAACCAAGAAAGAAAAGUAAUACUUAUCUAGAUACACGUGG